AGUGCAUUCAACUAUAAGGUUACGAACACAGAACAGCGUGAAUCAUGUGUGUAAAUGUACUAAACACCACAAAAAAUAAACCUGGCCUCAGUCAAAUACUUAUCCCAUAUGAAUUAACCGCUGCUCACGUCACCCGCUCGCGUCAUCAGCUGAUGGACUCGUCCAAUCAGAGCCUCGUAAACGCCGUGCAGCAGCGUCGAGUGUCCCGCAGACAGGAAGCGGGUCGUGUUUAGCUUGUCCCGUACGAGUGACUCUGUCUUCGGGGUAAAUAACUUGCUGAAGUCGACACGACGCUGUUCCCUGGAGGAGAAGAUGAGUGCGUGUGGAGGCAGAGCCGCGGGCCCGGUGUGGACGAGUCGAGGCGGAGAAGACGGGCGCACAGUCCCUGAGUUACGCCUCAGCCCCCCCCCCACACACACACACACACACACGCACACACACACACAAACAAAGAGGCGUUAGGCUGAGACGCUGAAAGUCCGGAUUUAAAGUGCAGAAAAUGAAGCCAUUGAAUCUGCCUGUCCAUGACGUACAAAGACACACUAUGAGCCAGUAUGAUCCGACCAGACCUUACAUCAGCAUUGAGGAGUUGUCGGAGAAGAAAGAGGCUGAUUGAAGCGGGACAGAUGACAUGGAUCCAUCCUUCCACAGCCAGGAGUGCACCGACCUGUGUCCCACACUUCAUAUAAGACUGGAAGCUACACUGAUCUCACAGCUACACACCACAGACGUCUACACACUGGAGAAGAGUCCCACAAAGAAGUCAUGACCCAGAGGCUGCAGAGAAACAUUUCAAGCCUCAUCUGAGUUUUUGUACAAUAUUUUUGCUGUAUGUAAAUAAAGCUUUCACUCCACA